CAGCAGCAGAGCCGUAACGUGUUCAGACAAGCCAGGGGCCCCUCAAGCCUUAGUUAUUUUAUAAAAGUUAAUUGUUUUAUACACGUUAGCUCCACCCGGGUUUCAGUCGGAAACGUACUUGUCACAUCGGUGCGGCUUAUUAGCUAAAACAAAGCGGACCCUCAUCACAGCUUUAGCUCGUCCUCGCCUCACUGACCGUUUUUAUUUCCUUGAAAGAGGACACUUUUGGGGCGCAAAUGUUACUCUGAACCCACAGAAACGUCAAUAACUUGUCAGCUAAAGAUGGAUCUGCGGUUACUUUUAAUAGCGACAUUAUCGGCGUCGCUCAGUGGCAGCUGGGCACAGCAAGAGGGAAGCAUAUGCAUCAAGGCAAACGCACAGUCAUGUGGGGAAUGCAUCCAGGUCUCCGAGACAUGCGGAUGGUGCUCAGAUGAA